GUCCAGUUUACUAGGUCACUAAUACAGUACAUCUUACUUGGUCACUUAAUACAGUACAGUUUACUAGGUCACUUAAUACAGUACAGUUUACUAGGUCACUUAAUACAGUACAGUUUACUAGGUCUAGGUCACUUAAUACAGUCAGUUUACUAGGUCACUUAAUACAGUACAGUUUACUAGGUCACUUUAUACAGUACAGUUUACUAGGUCACUUACUACAGUACAGUUUACUAGGUCACUUAAUACAGUACAGUUUACUAGGUCACUUAAUACAAUACAGUUUACUAGGUCACUUAUUACAGUACAGUUUACUAGGUCAC